UUAUGGCCAUAUCACGUUGAAACCCCGGUUCCCGUACGAUCACCGAAGUUAAGCAACGUCAUGUCUGGUUAGUAAUUAGAUAGAUGGUUGCUUGUGAAUACCAGGUGCUGUAAG